CCUACGGGAGGCAGCAGUAGGGAAUUUUCGGCAAUGGGGGGAACCCUGACCGAGCAACGCCGCGUGAACGAAGAAGUUAUUCGUAAUGUAAAGUUCUUUUAACAGGGAAGAAAGAGAAAUUUGACGGUAACUGAAGAAUAAGCUCCGGCUAACUACGUGCCAGCAGCCGCGUUAAUACGUAGGGAGCGAGCUUUAUCCGGAAUUAUGGGGCGUAAAGGGUGCGUAGAGGGAAUAGUAAGUCUUUGGUAAAAAUGCGGGGCUCAACCCAGUAGGGCAAAAGAUACUGCAAAGCUAGAGUAUGACAGAGGCAAGUGGAACUACAGGUGUAGCGGUAAAAUGCGUAAAUAUAUGUAAGAACACCAGUGGCGAAGGCGGCUUGCUGGGUCGAUACUGACAUUGAGGCACGAAAGCGUGGGGAGCAAACAGGAUUAGAUACCCGGGUAGUC
rnacentral:rRNA from 1 species